rnacentral:rRNA from 1 species
GACGAACGCUGGCGGCGUGCUUAACACAUGCAAGUCGAGCGCUGAACCCGCUUCGGUGGGGGAUGAGUGGCGAACGGGUGAGUAACACGUGGGCAACCUGCCCCCGGCUCUGGGAUAACUCCAAGAAAUUGGGGCUAAUACCGGAUGUGACCGCUGGCCGCAUGGUCUGGUGGUGGAAAGGGUUUCCGGCUGGGGAUGGGCCCGCGGCCUAUCAGCUUGUUGGUGGGGUAGUGGCCUACCAAGGCGACGACGGGUAGCCGGCCUGAGAGGGUGACCGGCCACACUGGGACUGAGACACGGCCCAGACUCCUACGGGAGGCAGCAGUGGGGAAUAUUGCGCAAUGGGCGGAAGCCUGACGCAGCGACGCCGCGUGGGGGAUGACGGCCUUCGGGUUGUAAACCUCUUUCAGCAGGGACGAAGCGCAAGUGACGGUACCUGCAGAAGAAGCACCGGCCAACUACGUG